GAUGAACGCUGGCGGCGUGCCUAAUACAUGCAAGUCGAGCGAACGGACGAGAAGCUUGCUUCUCUGAUGUUAGCGGCGGACGGGUGAGUAACACGUGGAUAACCUACCUAUAAGACUGGGAUAACUUCGGGAGACCGGAGCUAAUACCGGAUGAUAUUUUGAACCGCAUGGUUCAAAAGUGAAAGACGGUCUUGCUGUCACUUAUAGAUGGAUCCGCGCUGCAUUAGCUAGUUGGUAAGGUAACGGCUUACCAAGGCAACGAUGCAUAGCCGACCUGAGAGGGUGAUCGGCCACACUGGAACUGAGACACGGUCCAGACUCCUACGGGAGGCAGCAGUAGGGAAUCGUCCGCAAUGGGCGAAAGCCUGACGGAGCAACGCCGCGUGAGUGAUGAAGGUCUUCGGAUCGUAAAACUCUGUUAUUAGGGAAGAACAUAUGUGUAAGUAACUGUGCACAUCUUGACGGUACCUAAUCAGAAAGCCACGGCUAACUACGUG
rnacentral:rRNA from 1 species